rnacentral:tRNA from 1 species
AGAGAUAUGUCUGAGCGGUUUAAAGAGUAUGCUUGGAAUGCAUAAAAAAUUUUAAAAAAAAAUUUUCAUGGGUUCGAAUCCCAUUAUCUCUU